rnacentral:rRNA from 1 species
AGUGAACGCUGGCGGUAGGCCUAACACAUGCAAGUCGAACGGCAGGACCGUAAGAGCGUGCGCUUACGGGUGGCGGGUGGCGGACGGGUGAGGAAUAUAACGGGAUCUACUUUUUCGUGGGGGAUCAGGAAGGGGAACUUACGCUCAUAUCGCAUCCGACCUUGGGUGGAGGGCAUGGGAUCUUCGCGCCUUGCGCGAUUGAAUGAGCCGAUGUGGGAUUAGCUAGUUGGCGGGGUGAUGGCCCAGCCAGGCGAGGAUCGGUAGCCGGACUGAGAGGAGGAUCGCCCACCCUAGAACGUAGACACCGUCCAGACGCCUACGGUACGCAGCAGUGGGGUAUAUUGGACAAUGGGCGCGAGCCUGAUCCAGCCAUACCGCGUGGGUGAAGAAGGCCUUCGGGGUGGAAAGCCCUCUUUUUGGGAAAGAAAAGCAGCAGGUUAAUACCCCGCUGUUCUGACGGUACCCAAAGAAUAAGCACCGGCUAACUUCGUG